GUGCCAGCCGCCGCGGUAAUACGGGGGGGGCAAGCGUUGUUCGGAAUUACUGGGCGUAAAGGGCUCGUAGGCGGCCGCACAAGUCCGACGUGAAAUCCCUCGGCUCAACCGAGGAACUGCGUCGGAAACUAGGUGGCUUGAAUCCAAGAGAGGGAUGCGGAAUUCCAGGUGUAGCGGUGAAAUGCGUAGAUAUCUGGAGGAACACCGGUGGCGAAGGCGGCAUCCUGGAUUGGUAUUGACGCUGAGGAGCGAAAGCCAGGGGAGCAAACGGGAUUAGAUACCCUCGUAGUCC
rnacentral:rRNA from 1 species